rnacentral:sRNA from 1 species
AUACAGUGCCUCCGGGUCGCGGUCAUUUUGAGCCCCUGUCUGGAUGACUUCUUGCGGCUGUUCUACCCCUCCCCCUCCCCGCGGUACCUUGCACUUUUCUCCCUCCCUGCCCCCUCUCGAGUCCACCCUCCGGGCCUUCUGCCCCUGAUCGCUUGGUUUUCCUUGCCGUCGCCUGCUGCUGUCGUCGGGAGACAUAGGGCCUGAUUACAUUCCAACAGAGGAAGAAAGGAGAGUCUUCGCAGAAUGCAAUGAUGAAAGCUUCUGGUUCAGAUCUGUGCCUUUGGCUGCAACAAGUAUGUUGAUUACUCAAGGAUUAAUUAGUAAAGGAAUACUUUCAAGUCAUCCCAAAUAUGGUUCCAUCCCUAAACUUAUACUUGCUUGUAUCAUGGGAUACUUUGCUGGAAAACUUUCUUAUGUGAAAACUUGCCAAGAGAAAUUCAAGAAACUUGAAAAUUCCCCGCUUGGAGAAGCUUUACGAUCAGGACAAGCACGACGAUCUUCACCACCUGGGCACUAUUAUCAAAAGUCAAAAUAUGACUCAAAUGUGAGUGGUCAAUCGUCUUUUGUGACAUCCCCAGCAGCAGACAACAUAGAAAUGCUUCCUCAUUAUGAGCCAAUUCCAUUCAGUUCUUCUAUGAAUGAAUCUGCUCCCACUGGUAUUACUGAUCAUAUUGUCCAAGGUAGAAACUUCUCUUGAAAUGAAUUUCAACAUUUUAUGGUCCAACGUAUGUAUAAACUUUAUUUGAUGACCUUUUCUGCUGGAUAUCACCUGUGUGUUCUACCAUCAAUCAUCAACCUAAACUCAGCAUGUUUGUUCAUUUGUUUCUUCAUUCAUUCAACUUUUCUUGAGGACCAGUAGGUGUCAAGGACUCUGCUAGACGUGGAAGAAGAUGAAUAACACUUGGUUCUUGUCCCUGAAAAACUUCCAGUCUGUUAGAAGAUAUAGAAAUACAAGGAUGAAUUACUAGUAUGUCCCAGUAAUUGAAAAUACUAAGGCAAGCUUAGUGGAAUAGUGAAGAAGAAAUGAUAAAUCGUGUCUCAGGAAGUAGAGCUCCAGGAAAGGUAUAAAAAGGUUACAUUUGAUAGGCUGGGUUUUAAAGGCGUUCAGCUUCCUUGUCUGUAAUACAAGAAAGAACUGUUGUCAAGUGAGAAAAUCCAUGUGAAAAUGCUUUGUGAAGUUUGUAAAUACUAGCUUUGAAGAUCACACAU